rnacentral:rRNA from 1 species
GAUGAACGCUGGCGGCGUGCCUAAUACAUGCAAGUCGAGCGAACGGACGAGAAGCUUGCUUUUCUGAUGUUAGCGGCGGACGGGUGAGUAACACGUGGAUAACCUACCUAUAAGACUGGGAUAACUUCGGGAAACCGGAGCUAAUACCGGAUAAUAUUUUGAACCGCAUGGUUCAAAAGUGAAAGACGGUCUUGCUGUCACUUAUAGAUGGAUCCGCGCUGCAUUAGCUAGUUGGUAAGGUAACGGCUUACCAAGGCAACGAUGCAUAGCCGACCUGAGAGGGGGGUCGGCCACAUUGGAACUGAGACAGGGUCAAGACACCUACGGGGGGGAGAAGGAGGGAAUCUUCCGAAAUGGGGGAAAGCCUGACGAAGCAGCGCGGAGGGAGUAAUGAAGGUCUUAGGAUCGUAAAACUCUGUUAGAAGGGAAGAACAAAUGUGUAAGGAACUGUGCACAUCAUGACGGUACCAAAUAAAAAAGCCACGGCUAACUGCGAG